rnacentral:rRNA from 1 species
UGGGGAAUAUUGCACAAUGGGGGAAACCCUGAUGCAGCGACGCCGCGUGAAGGAAGAAGUAUCUCGGUAUGUAAACUUCUAUCAGCAGGGAAGAUAAUGACGGUACCUGACUAAGAAGCCCCGGCUAACUACGUGCCAGCAGCCGCGGUAAUACGUAGGGGGCAAGCGUUAUCCGGAUUUACUGGGUGUAAAGGGAGCGUAGACGGAGAGGCAAGUCUGAUGUGAAAGGCGGGGGCUCAACCCCGGCACUGCAUUGGAAACUGUAUUUCUUGAGUGCCGGAGGGGUAAGCGGAAUUCCUAGUGUAGCGGUGAAAUGCGUAGAUAUUAGGAGGAACACCAGUGGCGAAGGCGGCUUACUGGACGGCAACUGACGUUGAGGCUCGAAAGCGUGGGGAGCAAACAGGAUUAGAUACC